rnacentral:rRNA from 1 species
CCUACGGGUGGCAGCAGUGAGGAAUAUUGGUCAAUGGACGCAAGCCUGAACCAGCCAUUCCGCGUGCAGGAAGACGGCCCUAGGAGUUGUAAACUGCUUUGGUACGAAGGUAAACGCAGAUACGCGUAUCUGUCUGAAAGUAUCGUACGAAUAGGGAUCGGACAACUCCGUUCCAGCAGCCCCGCUAAUACGGAGGAUGCAAGCGGUACGCGGAUUUAUUUGGUUGAAAGGGUGCGUAGGCGGCCGGGUAAGUUAGAGGUGAAAUCCCCGGGCUGAACUUGGGAAUUGCAUCUGAUACUGUUCGGCUAGAGGGUGUUAGAGGGAGGCGGAAUGACAGGUGUAGCAGGGAAAUGCGUAGAUA